rnacentral:misc_RNA from 1 species
GUCCAAACUAGGCCCAAACAGGCUUUAGGUAUUCAAUAGGGAACAUCCAAUUCCAAACAAGCAUAUACAUCAAACUAUUAAAGGCUGCUAUAUCGUACUAUGGUACGAUACUAAUUAAUCCUAUAUUUUGCUAAUUUUCUUCAUUAACAAGCUGAGUUUUGGCUGUUCUCAAGGCCAGAUGUUGGGAAUAUCCACUUUGGACUUGUAGAUUUCGACAGAUGAAGUUUGUGCUGUGGCGCUGGGUUUGACAUACACUCCAAUUGACUUGAGCGUUAGCCCAUUGGAAAAUCCAUGAAACCCACCAAAUUGCCUAUUCUCUCCCAUGUAAAAGUUGAACUCUUGUAACUGGCAUCCAGGUAUAACAUGUUCUUUGCAACCAUAAGGCCCAUAAGUCCCCUUGUUGGUAGUAAAUGU